AUAGUACUUAUUGCAGCUGCUGACCACUGCACAAGAUUAGAUUUAAUGACUCUUGUGCGUGUGACAAUGGCUAUUGUAAGAUGCUAAAAUCUCCAA
rfam:Lucilia cuprina strain LS Scaffold313, whole genome shotgun sequence.